UGCCAUCAGAUGUGCCCAGAUGGGAUUAGUUAGUAGGUGGGUUAACGGCUCACCUAGGCAACGAUCCAUAGCUGGUCUGAGGGGAUGACCACCCACACUGGAACUGAGACACGGUCCAAACUCUUACGGGAAGCCAGCAGUGGGGAUCUUCCACAAUGGACGCAAGUCUGAUGCAGCAACGCCGCGUGAGUGAAGAAGGUUUUCGGAUCGUAAAGCUCUGUUGUUGGUGAAGAAGGAUAGAGGUAGUAACUGGCCUUUAUUUGACGGUAAUCAACCAGAAAGUCACGGCUAACUAC
rnacentral:rRNA from 1 species